rnacentral:rRNA from 1 species
UACGUAGGGGGCAAGCGUUGUCCGGAAUUAUUGGGCGUAAAGCGCGCGCAGGCGGUUCUUUAAGUCUGGUGUAUAAGUGCGGGGCUCAACCCCGUGAGGCACUGGAAACUGGGGAACUUGAGUGCAGAAGAGGAGAGCGGAAUUCCACGUGUAGCGGUGAAAUGCGUAGAGAUGUGGAGGAACACCAGUGGCGAAGGCGGCUCUCUGGACUGUAACUGACGCUGAGGCGCGAAAGCGUGGGGAGCAAACAGG